GAUGAACGCUGGCGGCGUGCCUAAUACAUGCAAGUCGAGCGAACAGACGAGGAGCUUGCUCCUCUGACGUUAGCGGCGGACGGGUGAGUAACACGUGGAUAACCUACCUAUAAGACUGGGAUAACUUCGGGAAACCGGAGCUAAUACCGGAUAAUAUAUUGAACCGCAUGGUUCAAUAGUGAAAGACGGUUUUGCUGUCACUUAUAGAUGGAUCCGCGCCGCAUUAGCUAGUUGGUAAGGUAACGGCUUACCAAGGCGACGAUGCGUAGCCGACCUGAGAGGGUGAUCGGCCACACUGGAACUGAGACACGGUCCAGACUCCUACGGGAGGCAGCAGUAGGGAAUCUUCCGCAAUGGGCGAAAGCCUGACGGAGCAACGCCGCGUGAGUGAUGAAGGUCUUCUGAUCGUAAAACUCUGUUAUUAGGGAAGAACAAAUGUGUAUGUAACUAUGCACGUCUUGACGGUACCUAAUCAGAAAGCCACGGCUAACUACGUG
rnacentral:rRNA from 1 species